ensembl:misc_RNA Metazoa_SRP Metazoan signal recognition particle RNA
GCUGGAUGUGGUGGUGUGUACCUGUCAUCCCAACUACUUAGGAGGCUGAGAUAGGAGAAUUGCUUGAGCCCAGGAAUUCAAGGCUGCAGUGAGCUAUGAUCACACCACUGCACUCCAGCCUGGGCAACAGAGCAAGACCCUGUCUCAA